AAACUCUUCCAAACAGCCAAGAGCAAUAGAUGUCAGUGUCUCCUCUGGACUCUCCAGAAAUACUUUCUUCAGCCUACCCUGCUAUUUCAGCUUCAGUUAAGAAACUGCACUUCAAAAGGUUUUGGAACCAGCUGUUGCACAGAAGUGUGGACUCCAGGAACCACUUCCCAAACCACCACAGCACAAGAGGCCACGGACCAGCUGGAGCAGAGCACUGACUGUCCCCUGUACUUGGCACCGGUGAAGCCACACCUUCAGUCCUGAGGUCAGUACUGGCCCCAUCCUGACAAGGACAUUGAGGUGCUGGAGCAUGCACAAUGAAGGGCAAAGGAACUGGGGAAGGGUCUGGAGCAUAAAUUCUUGUGGGGAGCAGCUGAGGGAGGAGAGAUUCUUCAGCCUAGUGAAAAGGAGGCUCAGGGGUGACCUUAUCAGCCUCUGUAGCUGCUAUGAGAAAGGAGGUUGUUGCAAGGCAGUGUCCCUUCUCCCAAGUAACAAGUGACAGGACAAGGAAAUGACUCAAGUUGUGCAAAGAGAAGUUCAGGCUGGAUAUAAUGAAAAAAAAUCUUCACUGAAAGAGUGGUUAAGCACUGGAAUAGGCUGCUCAGGAAAUGCUGGAUUCACCAUGCCUGUAAGAGUUCAAAAGAGUAGAAACAGCACUUCAUGCUAUGGUUUUAGUGGGCAUGGUGGUGUUCAGUCAAAUGCUGGACUUACCUUGGUACCUUGGUGGCAUUUUCCAACCUUUAUGAUUAUACGUCUCUAUAGCAUGCUUUGCAUGCUCCUAAUGACAGAAUAGGUCAGUCUCAACUAUUGUUUGGUCUCAACUACUGGCAAAUGUUACCUGUUGCAGAGCCAACUAGCCUUACUGAAAGAAACCAGAACAGUAAAUACUUGUAACAACACAAUCCUCCAGAAGAACAACGCAGCUCUAAUCCUGUGGUUCCAGCUGUGUACCCUCUGAUCUGCCACUCUCAAAAAGAAAGGAGAGAGAACAAAGUAGUUAUGUUAUUUCCUUACCACCAGGAACAUAAAUGAACGAAAUAUAAAACUCUAAACAUCUGGCUUUCUUGCAAGUACAUACAAAAUCAAAUUGAAGGAAUAGUUCUGCAUAGUCCACAAACUCACAGGUAUGGAUUUCAUACCUGUUCAGAUUUUUCUUGGGCAGUCUGUGCAAACACCUUGCUCAGAUAAACCAGUUUUGCUUCCUCCUGGAAGGAAAGUACAUAGUUGUUCUACAGAGCUUUUAAAACAUCCAGACUAACAGGGAGGUGAAGAGGCUUCGGCAACUUGUGCCAGCUUUUAUAACAUUGGUUUAUAAAAUACAUCCAUGCCAGCCAACUUCUUCUCCAGUGAAAAAAAAAAAAAAAAAAAUCACUACUACGAGUUUCAAUGCCCAAUGCCCUAAUGAAGCGCUGCUGGUCUUAAAGAACAGCUCCCAACAGCUUCUGAAGCAGUUUGUCGUUUCCUUGUGUCUUGUCACAGCUUUCACCCCACAUACCUUGCUUUUGUAAAAUGAGUCUGAAGGCUGUGCAGCCAUAGAGAAGUUGAAAAGGUCAAAGCACAGACUGCAGAGAAACAAACCUAGAUGUUCAGAAGCACUGAAAGGAAGAGCAACACAAUUAGCUGAUUCUCACCUGUCAAUGCUAAGUUAAUACUGGUCUUUCUACAGCGUGAUUUCUCGGUCAUCCUGUUCAUUUAAGUUUGAAAAGGGCUGUACUACAUCGAACACACAACAAACUCCCACAAUGCGCAUGUGGAAUGUUAGUGCAUGUUUUAUCUAUUCAGCCAUCAAAAUUAAUUAAACGCAUUUGCAGUACAUCUCCUUCCCUCAGCUCUUUUACAUACAAUUAGCACAACAUAUUUGAUGAAUUUAUGGGAAAUUAGAGACAGGUCUGCCUUUAAAAUAGUUCUCUUUCUUUCAGUUUUUCAAAAUAAUUCAAAUUAAAGAUGACUGCUUUUCUAUUUCAAGUACUUGCAGAAGUUGCAAGUACUUGAAGUAGAAGUUUUCCUUGUUAAUAGUAU